UCGUACGAACUCUGGUAUUGAUUGGUGCUUGCAUCAUGAUUUACAUUUGAGUGAGUGGCGAACUGGUGAGUAACACGUGGGAAACCUGCCCAGAAGCGGGGGAUAACACCUGGAAACAGAUGCUAAUACCGCAUAACAACUUGGACCGCAUGGUCCGAGCUUGAAAGAUGGCUUCGGCUAUCACUUUUGGAUGGUCCCGCGGCGUAUUAGCUAGAUGGUGGGGUAACGGCUCACCAUGGCAAUGAUACGUAGCCGACCUGAGAGGGUAAUCGGCCACAUUGGGACUGAGACACGGCCCAAACUCCUACGGGAGGCAGCAGUAGGGAAUCUUCCACAAUGGACGAAAGUCUGAUGGAGCAACGCCGCGUGAGUGAAGAAGGGUUUCGGCUCGUAAAACUCUGUUGUUAAAGAAGAACAUAUCUGAGAGUAACUGUUCAGGUAUUGACGGUAUUUAACCAGAAAGCCACGGCUAACUACGUGCCAGCAGCCGCGGUAAUACGUAGGUGGCAAGCGUUGUCCGGAUUUAUUGGGCGUAAAGCGAGCGCAGGCGGUUUUUUAAGUCUGAUGUGAAAGCCUUCGGCUCAACCGAAGAAGUGCAUCGGAAACUGGGAAACUUGAGUGCAGAAGAGGACAGUGGAACUCCAUGUGUAGCGGUGAAAUGCGUAGAUAUAUGGAAGAACACCAGUGGCGAAGGCGGCUGUCUGGUCUGUAACUGACGCUGAGGCUCGAAAGUAUGGGUAGCAAACAGGAUUAGAUACCCUGGUAGUCCAUACCGUAACGAUGAAUGCUAAGUGUUGGAGGGUUUCCGCCCUUCAGUGCUGCAGCUAACGCAUUAAGCAUUCCGCCUGGGGAGUACGGCCGCAAGGCUGAAACUCAAAGGAAUUGACGGGGGCCCGCACAAGCGGUGGAGCAUGUGGUUUAAUUCGAAGCUACGCGAAGAACCUUACCAGGUCUUGACAUACUAUGCAAAUCUAGAGAUUAGACGUUCCCUUCGGGGACAUGGAUACAGGUGGUGCAUGUGUCGUCAGCUCGUGUCGUG
rnacentral:rRNA from 1 species